UGUGUGCACUGACUAAGCCUCUGCCU
rnacentral:piRNA from 1 species